AGCGAACAUUGGCGGUAGGCUUAACACAUGCAAGUCGAGCGGGGCGUAAUAGUCGAGCGGCGAACGGGUGAGUAAUACAUGGGAAUCUACCUUGGGGUGGGGGAUAACAGCCAGAAAUGGCUGCUAAUACCGCAUAAUCCCGAGAGGGGAAAGCGCGCUGCGCUCCAAGAUGAGCCCAUGGCUGAUUAGCUAGUUGGUGGGGUAAAGGCCUACCAAGGCGACGAUCAGUAGCUGGUCUGAGAGGAUGAUCAGCCACACUGGAACUGAGACACGGUCCAGACUCCUACGGGAGGCAGCAGCGGGGAAUCUUGCGCAAUGGGGGCAACCCUGACGCAGCCAUACCGCGUGUGCGAUGAAGGUCUUCGGAUUGUAAAGCACUUUCAGUAGGGACGACGAUGACGGUACCUACAGAAGAAGUCACGGCUAACUUCGUGCCAGCCGCCGCCGUAA
rnacentral:rRNA from 1 species